AACACUUACAACAUGACACGCACAACACAAGAUAUUCUUAACUAAAGUUUCAAAACAUUACAUUGAUUAAAUUGAUUAGAAUUACACAACUAUAAAUAAUUAGUGCAACACUGAUUAGUGUUAGUGGAUUACCAGGAAAGGCAUAAACAGUAAACUUUACCCCUCCUCUUAAUGAUCAUAUGAUGCUGGCCAAACACAAUCUGCUUGGCGAGGAAGAAAGGAGGAGGACAACUAGCUUACUCCCUUUACCUGACAGAAAGAAGGAAAGAACGACAGAAGGAGAGAAAGAGAGAGUUGCUUUGAAGGCAUAGGAAUAGACCAAGAACAGACAACAGAAGACAUCAGGAGCCUACAAGUACAAAGGAUUUUAAAAAGGGGGAGCAUGACUACUAUGCAAGUGAUGGUGCAUGGACCAAAGAAACAUUUGAGAGACAAUUCUAAUGAACAGCUCACUUUGGAUAGAGGAGUGGACAAUACUGCGAGUCCCCCUAAAAAACUGUCCCACUCUAUUGAGGAGAUCCUGAAGAAGCCAUCCAGAGUGGGAGAAGAGAGGCAAGAGGGGCUAGGUGGAUGAAGGAACUUUUCAACACAGGGUGCUGCCACAGCAUGUGCACAUUGUCACUGACUGGAGAGGUGACCACAACACAGAGGUCACAAGACUACACCCUGGAGAGUGCAAUAUUGACCGCAUCUCCCAAGACCACAGUGGGGACUCCAGCAGCCACAGUAGUGGCUCCUGUAAAGAUAGUAUUCAGGACAGAGCGGGGAGAGAGGAGGGCCAGGACCAAGGCCGAAUCCAGUGGGAGAGGAUCAGCUGCCAAGCUCAUCAUGUGCAGAGGAGGAGAAGGAAGACCUGGACCAUCUUCACUCCAGGUCAGGUGGAGAAGGAAGACCCGGACCAGCUUCACUCCAGGUCAGGAGGAGAAGGAAGACCCGGACCAGCUUCACUCCAGGUCAGGAGGAGAAGGAAGACCCGGACCAGCUUCACUCCAGGUCAGGUGGAGGAGCUGGAGAAGGUGUUCUUGGAGACCCACUAUCCUGAUGUCCACAUCCGGGACACACUUGCCUCUCAUCUGCAGCUCACCGAGGGAAGAGUACAGAUUUGGUUCCAGAACCACAGAGCCAAAUGGAGGUAGACUGAGAUGCUAAGGGACGUGGAAAUGAUGGCCAGAGACCAGACCCCUAUAUGUACAUUCAAACCUGGGCUUCUUUAUAGUGAGGUAACCAUGGUUGGCAGAGGAAGAACAAUGAUUCCAAGCACCACCCUCCUUUUGAAGCUUCCGGUCUGUUAUUCGAACUCAAUCAGCAUGACAGAGUGAUCUCCAGCCUUGUCCUUGUCAACACUCACACCUGUGUUAACAAGAGAAUCACUGACAUGAUGUCAGCUGGUCCUUGUGUGGCAGGUCCGAAAUGCAGUGGAAAUGUUUUUGGGGGAUUCAGUUCAUUCGCAUGGCAAAGAGGGACUUUGCAAUUAAUUGCAAUUCAUCUGAUCACUCUUCAUAACAUUCUGGAGUAUAUGCAAAUUGCCAUCAUUCAAACUGAGGCAGCAGACUUUGUGAAAAUUUAUAUUUGUGUCAUUCUCAAAACUUUUGACCACGACUGUAUAUGUGAUUGUAUAAGACGUGAGUCAUGCUUGAGACAGUUGACAAAAACCUCAAUAAAAUGAUCCUGUAAUUUGUUUCCAUGACAAAACAGCGUGAAGAGGCUAUCUCUCUGUUUCCGUUGAAUCCUUGCUCACUACAGUACGGGCCAUACCAACUACUAGAAAAGCUUUACCCAGGGGUAUUGCCGUUCCAACCUUUUCUACCUGUGUUGCCACACCUGCAUCACCAAGCUCUAUGCUCCCCCUGGACCCGACAUUAAUUUCCCAUCCCAAUAGUCACUUUCAGUUGACACA
rnacentral:lncRNA from 1 species